rnacentral:tRNA from 1 species
UAGAUUGAAGCCCGCUGGUUUGGGUUUUUAGUUGUUAACUAANGAUUUUACGGGAUCGAGGGCCGUCGAUCUAG